AAAUGAAUAGACGGGGGCCCGCACAAGCGGAGGAACAUGUGGUUUAAUUCGAUGAUACGCGAGGAACCUUACCCGGGCUUAAAUGUAGAUUGCAUAAUUUAGAGAUAAAUUUUUCCCUCAAAAGACUAUCUACAAGGUGCUGCAUGGUUGUCGUCAGCUCGUGCCGUGAGGUGUCGGGUUAAGUCCCAUAACGAGCGCAACCCCUGCUACCAGUUACCAGCAUGUAAUGAUGGGGACUCUGGUAGGACCGCCGCCGUAAGGCGAGAGGAAGGUGGGGAUGACGUCAAAUCAGCACGGCCCUUACGUCCGGGGCGACACACGUGUUACAAUGGCCGGCACAGAGGGCUGCUACACAGCGAUGUGAUGCUAAUCUCAAAAACCGGUCGUAGUUCGGAUUGGAGUCUGAAACUCGACUCCAUGAAGCUGGAUUCGCUAGUAAUCGCAUAUCAGCCAUGAUGCGGUGAAUACGUUCCCGGGCCUUGUACACACCGCCCGU
rnacentral:rRNA from 1 species